rnacentral:rRNA from 2 species
UUGGGUUAUGCUACGCUAAUUGGUGAAUGGCUUGGCUUGAGCGCUGAUGAAGGACGCGGCAAGCCGCGAUAUGCCCCGGCGAGACGCACGCAGUCUUAGAACCGGGGAUUUCUGAAUUGGACUUCCAUGCAAAACUCUAAUAGAGCUUGCAAUUCCGAAAGGAAAGGGAACGCGCUGGAUUGAAGCAUCUUAGUAAGCGCAGGAAAAGAAAGCAAUAGCGAUGUCGUGAGUAAAGGCGAUCGAAAGCGACACAGGGCAAACUGAAUCCGCUUCAGUGAUGGAGUGGAGAUGUGGUGUUUGGACUGCCAUUGGUCUUAUAAGUGAAGAUGAAGUCUCCUGGAACGGAGCACCUCAGAGGGUGAUAGUCCCGUAAUUGAAAAUUUGUAAGAACUAGGCAGUAUCCAGAGUACGGUUGGUUGAAUAUCCAGUCGGAACGUGGGAGCAUCGACUCCCAACCCUAAAUACGUCUCAAGACCGAUAGUGCAAUAGUACUGUGAGGGAAAGAUGAAAAGCAUCCUUGGCGGGAUGUGAAAAGAACCUGAAACCAAUUAGUUAUAGUCCGUUGCGGCGUGAAAGGAAUGUAGCUCUUCGGAGCCAAACAACGUCGUAACAUCCGUUUUGAAAAACGGGGCAGGGAGUUUAUUUUAAUGGCGAGGCGAAAGUCAAAGCGAAAGCAAAGGCCCGCAACCACCUCGAGUGGCCAGGGGCUGAGUAUUAAAUGUGCUCGUAGUCAUUGGAAUAAGACCUGAAGCCAGUCGAUCUAUUCCUGGACAAGGUGAAGCCUCUCGAAAGGGGGGUGGAGGCCUGGUACCGGUUCUGAUCCUAUUCGUUCGGGUGAUCUGGGAAUAGGGGCGAAAUACCAAUCGAGACUGGAGAUAGCUGGUUCCUCCCGAAAUGUGUCUUAGCACAGCCUGGCUGGAGAUAAAUGCAAGAGUAGAGAUACUGAUUUGGGAGUUAGGCCUGGAAACAGGUCGCUUCCUCGUCAAACUCCGAACAUUGUAUUGUCUGAGAAGGCCGGAGUGAGGGCAUAUGCGUAAGGUAUAUGUCCAAGAGGGAAAGAACCCAGACUAGAGUUAAGGCCCCAAAAUGCUGAUUAAGUGUAAUUGAAGCACGUCUUAAAUCCAAAACAGCGGGGAGGUUGGCUUAGAAGCAGCCAUCCUUUAAUGAGUUCGUAACAGAUCACCCGCCGAGAUUUAGGGCUGCGAAAAUGGACGGGGCUAAAUCAGCUGCCGAGACUCUAGCGUUAUACAAAAUAACGGGUAGGGAGGCAUCCCGCGUGGGCGGAAGCAACUCCGUGAGGAAUUGUGGACCGCGUGGGAAAGAUAAUCCUGCCAGUAGUAGUAGCAUAGUGUGGUGUGAAUCCACACCGUCUCAAGGGCAAGGGUUCCUCGAAGAUGUUUAUCAGGCGAGGGUUAGUCGAUCCUAAGCGUUACCCUAACUGGAGUAACGCGAAAGGGAAGCAGGUUAAUAUUCCUGCACCAUGGAAAUACACAUCGCAAGAUAAGGCAGUCUUCUGACACUUCGAGAUAAGUUGAGCAGUUCGCUGUUUAACCGUUGAAGACCAGGGAAUAUCGUCACGAUUUGAACUGGUCGAAGUCGGGAAUAGCGCGUCCUAUGGCGCGUUCAACUGAUUCUCGGGGUCAAUGAAAAGGAAGCUGCAUGAAUUUUCCAUGUUCGUACCGAGAACCGACACUGGUGCCCUGGAUGAGUAAUCCAAGACGAGUCGGGAUAAUCCAAUUUAGGGAAUUCGGCAAAUUGGCCUCGUACCUUCGGAAGAAGGGGUGCCUGCUUUCUAUAUUCAAUAUGGAAAAGCAGGUCGCAGUGCCUAGAGAGAUCGGACUGUUUAAUAAAAACAUAGGGGGCUGCUAGACCGUAAGGUUGUGUAUAGCUUCUGAUUCCUGCCCAGUGCCGGUAUGUGAACUUUCGGUUCAACGGAAGGAAGCACCGGUAAACGGCGGGGGUAACUAUAACCCUCUUAAGGUAGCGUAAUACCUUGCCGCUUAAUUGGCGGCUUGCAUGAAUGGAAUAACCAGAUCUCUGCUGUCCCAAAUUGGCAUCCGGCGAACUUGCUAUCCUGGUGAAUAGGCCAGGGACUUCCAGCGGGAAGAUAAGACCCCGUGGAGCUUUUCGGCAGUCUAUUGCUGUAUUAUGGUCGUGGCUGUAUAGUGUAGGUAGGAGACAUCGAAGCAUCGUCGUCAGGCGAUGUGGAGUCGACAAUGUAACACUACCCUGUCACAACUGUGGUACUUACCCGUAAGGGGACACCAGUAGAUGGGCCGUUUGGCUGGGGCGGCGCCUAUCUGAAAAGACAUCAGGUGGGCCCAAAGGUCUGCUCAUCCGCGUCAGAACUGCGGAGCAGAGUGCAAGAGCAAAAGCAGGCUUGAUAUCAUCCUCAAAAGCAAGGGAUGGUGAGAAGAAAUUCAGGUCUAGCGAACCUCAAACUCCCCUCGAUGGGGGUUUGAGCUGACAAAAAAGCUACCCCGGGGAUAACUGAUUGGUUGCAGGCAAGAGCUCGUAUCGACCCUGCAGCUUGAUACUUCGAUGUCGGCUUGGCCCAUCCUGGGCGUGCAGCAGCGCCCAAGGGUACGGGUGUUCACCGGUUAAAGGGCCUCAUGAGCUGGGUUUAGAACGUCGCGAGACAGUUUGGCAUAUAUCUGCUGGAAGUGUUUGCUGUCUGAGAGGAAGAUGCUCCCAGUACGAGAGGAACAGAGCGUCGUGGCCUCUGGUCGAUCAGUUGUCUAACAAGGCAUUGCUGAGCAGCUACGCCAUAUGAAGAUAAGGGCUGAAUGCAUCUAAGCCCGAAGCUUCUCUCGAAAAGAGACAGCAUAGACUCCCCAUAAAAUAGGGGGUUGAUAGGCAUGGGGUGUAAGCACCGAGCUUUUGCGAGGUGUUCAGCCUGCAUGUACUAAUACGUCAUUUAUAACC